UCCGAACUGGUGUAGAGGUAACAUUUGUCGCUCUCAUCUGCUAAGCAGUGAAGAUCCGACACGCCCGGGGUUCGAUUCCCCGGUUCGGAA
rnacentral:tRNA from 1 species